rnacentral:rRNA from 1 species
UACAGAGGUCUCAAGCGUUGUUCGGAUUCAUUGGGCGUAAAGGGUGCGUAGGUGGGGCUGUAAGUCGGGUGUGAAAUUUCGGAGCUUAACUCCGAAACUGCAUUCGAUACUGCGGUGCUUGAGGACUGGAGAGGAGACUGGAAUUCAUGGUGUAGCAGUGAAAUGCGUAGAGAUCAUGAGGAAGACCAGUGGCGAAGGCGGGUCUCUGGACAGUUCCUGACACUGAGGCACGAAGGCCAGGGGAGCAAACGGG